AAGUGGCGUACGGGUGAGUAACACGUGGAUCAUCUACCCUCUUGUGGGGGAUAACCCUGGGAAACCGGGGCUAAUACCGCAUAAGUCCGAGAGGAGAAAGCAGCAAUGCGCAGGAGGAGGAGUCCGCGGCCGAUUAGCUAGUUGGUAGGGUAAAAGCCUACCAAGGCUACGAUCGGUAGCCGGCCUGAGAGGGCACACGGCCACACUGGCACUGAAACACGGGCCAGACUCCUACGGGAGGCAGCAGUGGGGAAUCUUGCACAAUGGGGGCAACCCUGAUGCAGCGACGCCGCGUGAACGAUGAAGCCCUUCGGGGUGUAAAGUUCUUUCGGCAGGGAAGAUCAUGACGGUACCUGCAGAAGCAGCUGCGGCUAACUACGUGCCAGCAGCCGCGGUAAUACGUAGGCAGCAAGCGUUGUUCGGAGUUACUGGGCGUAAAGGGUGUGUAGGCGGCCUUCUAAGUUUGGUGUGAAAUCUCCCGGCUCAACCGGGAGGGUGCGCCGAAGACUGGGGGGCUAGAGUGCGGGAUGGGAGAGUAGAAUUCCUGGUGUAGCGGUGAAAUGCGUAGAUAUCAGGAGGAAUACCUGUGGUGUAGACGGCUCUCUGGACCGCAAC
rnacentral:rRNA from 1 species